AUUAUAAUAUCGUGCGUGCAUAGCAACAGCCACCUACUGAUUUGUGUAUUCUACACUUUUGUAUCAGUAUUGUUACUAAUGUUUAGAUUUAAAUGAUCAGAAAUUCUCAAUAUUGUAGUUCAAAUUUUAUUUAAUAUCCAUUGAAUAGAUAUUGAAACUCUGCAAGUCGAUACCAGAAUCAAAUGCAUGAUACACAGAACCAGCACAAAACUCAUCAGGAGUCACAAACAUUUGAAAUUCAUUUGUAUACAUAUCUUGACAAGAGUUUUGGUCGAUGUAUGGUAAAUAAGUUUCCAAUAGAACGGGACUUAAUAUACCCUUUUCCGUAUUUCCCCAACCAACAAUCUGUAAAAAUUUUGGUACUGAGUUGAAUCAAUAAAAUUAAGUGUGAGCUAAAAAGAUAUUUUAAUUUUAAAGCUUGAUCUUGAGGAUUUCGUCGUAUAAAAUAUCAACAUUUACAAAUCAUUUAUCACAACGUUUCACGUUUUAUUUUAUUUAUUUUUACUUUUAUUCAAAUCUGAAAUGUUCAAUAUUGGUAUAAGUAUAAACUAACUAAAAUAAAAUCAAGAUUUUAAAAAUUAAUAAAUUUUUGUUAAGAUUCCUUUAACAGCAAUCACGUCGGCUGAAAUUUGACCUACAGAACUUAACAAUCGAGGUUUUAUGUGUGUGAAGUUAGCACCAUAUAACUUUGUUUAUAUUACAAAGAAAAAACAAAUCAUAAAGCCCAAUUAAUCAAUAAUCAAUCAUCAGUUUUUAAAAAUUGUAAAUUUUUAAGAGUUUAGUUAUAAUUAAAUAAAAAUGAAGCUAAACUAAACUAAUGAAGUCGGCAACUUUACAUAUACCUCACAACUUAGGAAUACAAAUCUCAUGUUUUAAAUAUUACUAUAGA